rnacentral:rRNA from 1 species
UCGGGAAUUUUGGGCAAUGGGGGAAACCCUGACCCAGCAACGCCGCGUGAAGGAUGAAGUAUUUCGGUAUGUAAACUUCGAAAGAAUAGGAAGAAUAAAUGACGGUACUAUUUAUAAGGUCCGGCUAACUACGUGCCAGCAGCCGCGGUAAUACGUAGGGACCAAGCGUUGUUCGGAUUUACUGGGCGUAAAGGGCGCGUAGGCGGCAUGACAAGUCACUUGUGAAAUCUCUGGGCUUAACCCAGAACGGCCAAGUGAUACUGUCGCGCUAGAGUGCAGAAGGGGCAAUCGGAAUUCUUGGUGUAGCGGUGAAAUGCGUAGAUAUCAAGAGGAACACCUGAGGUGAAGACGGGUUGCUGGGCUGACACUGACGCUGAGGCGCGAAAGCCAGGGGAGCAAACAGGAUUAGAUACCCCUGUAGUCCCUGAGCGGGCUGGCAAGGCG